GUGCUGGCUUUGGCAGCACAUAUGCUAAAAUUGGAACGAUACAGACAAGAUUAGCAUGGCCCUGGCACAAGGAUGACACACAAAUUCAUGAAGCAUUCCAUAUUUUU
rnacentral:snRNA from 1 species